rnacentral:rRNA from 1 species
CCUACGGGAGGCAGCAGUGAGGAAUAUUGGUCAAUGGACGAGAGUCUGAACCAGCCAAGUAGCGUGAAGGAUGACUGCCCUCUGGGUUGUAAACUUCUUUUAUAAAGGAAUAAAACUAGGCACUUGUGCCUUUUUGCAUGUACUUUAUGAAUAAGGAACGGCUAACUACGUGACGGCAGCCGCGGUACUUCGGCGGAUCCGAGCGUUAGCCGGAUUUAGUGGGUUUACUGGGAACGUAGGUGGGUUGUUAAGUCAGUUGUGAAAGUUUGCGGCUCAACAGUAAAAGUGAAAUUGAUACUGGCAGUCUUGAGUACAGUUGAGGUAGGCGGAAUUCGUGGUGUAGAGGUGAAAUGCUUAGAUAUCACGAAGAACCCCGGUUGCGAAGGCAGCUUACUAAACUGUGACUGACAUUGAUGCGCGAAAGUGUGGGUAGCAAACAGGAUUAGAUACCCGAGUAGUC